UAGGUAGAUUUUGUUGAUUAUAACACCUAAAGUCCAUAUAAUUAAGGAAGAUUGUUGAUAAUAAUAUAUGUUAUUGUUAGUAUUGCAUUUCAUUUCAUAAUUAAUAAAUAAUUCUAAUAAACGUGUUUUGGGAGCAUGAUAACUAGGAGUUAUAUCUGAUUUACCUCAGUGUGCAUCAUGCCUUCUACUUAUCUGGGAUCAUUAGGACUUAGAUACUAACGUAAAAGUUAUCGUCCCUCUGCUAAUGUGUGAGAGCAUCAAGGAAUUGACAAAGCUUUCUUUUUAAAAGGAGUACUAAAUACUCUUCCGCCUAUGGACUCUGGGAUCCCUUGUGUACUAUUGAUUUGCUCAUUUACAGCUGACCUUGAUUACUGAUAUUGUAUUCAAAGCUUUCCAUAGAUGCGGAUAGGCCUCCCAUACUUCCACUGAAAGAGGACACGCUGGAGGCUCAUCUGUUCUCCAUUUAUUUUGAAUUUUGCUGAACCAACACACAGACGUCACUAUUAUAAAUAACAGUACUGCUCUUCUUUGUGUUUUUUUGUAUUAUUUUGGAAAGAAACCUGUCUGUUUUUACUUGCUUACAUCCUUCUAUGUACCCUUGUUGACUACCUCCAUCUUUCCAAAGGCUCUAAGGCAUUCAUAAAGGCCUCUUUUUCAAAGAAAUAUUACUAUUAAUACUACUCAUUGUAUGUGUCUAAAUCCAAAGAUAUUGUAUCAAGCAAAUGUGCAUUUUAUUUCUGUAUUCAGGUUGAAUAAAUUAUUGAAAUAAAUCUUCUACAUUAUAGAUGUUGUUCUAUUGAAGUCUUAUAUUUGUUCUAAGAACAUUGACUGUAUUAUAAAAUAGUAAUUAGAACUCUCAGAAGAAGAUGUUGCUAUUAUAAUAAUGGUUUUUGCCCUUAAAUGUAAUGUACUACAUUACUGUGAAUUAUAUACUCUAUUUAUAAUUUAAAUUUCAAAUGGAAUGUCUUGUUACAAGAAAUAUGAAAUCAAGUUGAAGAAGUUUUUAGUUAUAGAAUUUGGAUGAAGCUGGAGUUUGAUGACGUUUAUUUUAUUAUUUGUAUUGCAUUCAAUUAUAGUUCUUAUACUUUUUAAUAAUUAAAUAUAUUUCUAAAUUAUAAUAUAAUUCACUUUUGUGUACCCUCACACAUUUUGUUUCUUCCCUUCUUGUUAAUAUGUAUUGUACGUUGUUGUCCUAUGUAUAAUAAGGUAGUCAUUGCUAUUAUGAUAUAUAAUACAUUAAGACACGUCUAAUUCACGAGUAUAAUUAAAUAUAUUAAUGUUUUAAUUACAUAUUGUUGGACGAUAUUUCAUGUGAAAACAACAAUAUUUGUUUCAUUUCAUCAUUAUUACACUGUAGUGGUCACUGGAAUCAUAAAUGAAUAGGCCUAUAUAAAUUGGAACAAGUAUAUUUUCUCAAGUAUGUUUAUUGUUGUUUUUAAAAGAUUUUAUACAUAUACAUACAAAUUAUAUAAUUAAUAUUGUAUCACGCCACCUUUAUUACGAAAAUAAACAGAUAAAAGGCCCAAAAUAA
rnacentral:lncRNA from 1 species